rnacentral:lncRNA from 1 species
GUUCUACUGACUGAAGUGAUCCUAUCUUGUGACUCAUGCAUGGCACGUCUAUAAGUCAAGCUGGAAUCCUCUAAAAUAAGUCACAUGGGAAAAAAUUCUGAUCUUAUUCUAGACGAAGAAUGAAAAGCCAGGAAGCUACAUAACCCAAGCUAUGCUUGCUUACAGAAACAACAGUCAGAUGCCAAUAACCAGGAACCACCUGCAGGACAAGCUAAGCCCAGAAAUGCUGCCUUCACCUGAACUUCUGCCUCAGUGCGAGACCUGACCUGAUUUCUUGCCUCUUUCUCAUACCAACAUUUCCAUCCAGUGGGGAGAAAUGUACCUUGCUGGGUGCAAAAAGUGCCAAUGCAAAAGAAAAUGCAAGACUGCGCAUACUUAACCCCUCCUGGAAGAACAAACUUUUUUCAAGGAAUCCCCACCCCUGUCUCCACCUACCUGCCCAAAAGUCCUUAAAAAUUUCCCUUUACUCUACUUCCAGGGAGAAGGUGCUUUGAGCAUGAGCUCCCGUUCUCCAUUACUUGAUCAAUGAAUGGAAUUUCUGCACUGUUUUGCCAAACCUGGUCUCCUUAUAUUAGUGUGAAAGGCACCAGGCACGGGGAAAAAAAAAAACCAUCAGGGUCAAGGGAGGCCCUUUGAGGGUCAGUUGAUAAGGGGACUACAUGAAUUUUUUUUUUUUUUUUUUUUUUUUUUAGACCGAGUCUAGUUCUGUCGCCCAGGCUGGAGUGCAGUGACGCGAUCUCGGCUCACUGCAGCUCCGCCUCCCGGGUUCACCCCAUUCUCCUGCCUCAGCCUCCCGAGUAGCUGGGACUACAGGCGCCCGCGACCAUGCCCGGCUAAUUUUUUGUGUUUUUAGUAGAGA